rnacentral:rRNA from 1 species
UACGUAGGGUGCAGGCGUUAAUCGGAAUUACUGGGCGUAAAGCGUGCGCAGGCGGUUUGCUAAGACAGGUGUGAAAUCCCCGGGCUUAACCUGGGAACUGCGCUUGUUACUGGCAGGCUGGAGUGUGGCAGAGGGGGGUAGAAUUCCACGUGUAGCAGUGGAAUGCGUAGAGAUGUGGAGGAAUACCGAUGGCGAAGGCAGCCCCCUGGGUUAACACUGACGCUCAUGCACGAAAGCGUGGGGAGCAAACAGG